UUUGGACUUUGAAAAAGGGAGCGAGAGGAAGGGAGAACUGAUGAGUAACGGUGAGGGGGAGGAUAAGAAAGGCGCGAGACUUUAGGAAACCAGGGGUGAGGGGAAAUGGUUAAAGGGUGUAAGAUGGUGGUGGGUAGGUACAGAGGACGAGGGGAGGACCCACCAGCACCACUCGCUCUCCCUCCCCUCACAAUUGGCAGUAACAAGGGGAAUGAGGGUUGGCGACACAUAAAUGGCGCCACAGGCUGCUUUAGGGGCCAGUAGUCAGCAGCAGGGGCUUGGGGCGAGCUGCCCUCCGUCGCAUACCUCUUCCUCCUCCGUCAGGAGGGCAGCAACACUACAAGGAAUGGAACAACGAAGAUAAGAUACCUUGCUCCGGGUGUUUCUCAGUAACAGCAUCAACAGGAGGUGAAGACAUGGUCCCUUGCUCCGGGUGUUCCUCCUGUUACCUCCUCCGCUUCGGCCAGGUGAAGGGAAGAGCAAGUAACACCGUAAGAAGGAAGAGACAAUUAAGGAGGAAGAGUACUUGGCGAAGCAUCUUGUAAAUGUAAUCAAUCUCUCAAGACGUCCAGGACGAUGGCUCGAGCAUCCUAAGUGUGCUGGCGACCAAACUUCUUUCACUCGUCCUUCAUCCUUUCCCUUUGCUGUUCCUCUGAUCCCUGACUCCCUCGCUAAUACAACUAUAUCAACUGCUGCAACACUACAAGUCCAUCUCACAAGUAUAUUCAACUGCUCCUGCUGUCAUUCGUUGUUGUUGUCUUCUGGUAGAGGCAAAACAAGAUUUCUUCUCGUGCCAGAAACGCAGGAAAAGUAUCAAUAUCAUCACCAAAGUUUCCAGAGAGAAAGGUAUCGAAAGAGCCUGGACCUGGUGUCCUCGCGUCCUUAUCAUCAGACGUUUAAGGAAGAAAACACGCCAAGCUGCCCUCGACCCACAACCUUCACCUGACGGGAGCGGCUGUGCGAGAGAAAGACGUAGGUGUUGAAGGGCACGCCAACAUACUAUUCAACCUCCUUGCUGGGAAAUCAGUGCUCGGCAGCGCCUUCUGCAGGCGUCAAGUGGUGAAGAAACUACCAUUCAAAGAAUACGAGGACGAAGUGAAGAGGAAUCAACCAAGACGCCCCAGUGGAAAACUGAACUAUUACACGUUGCUAAGGAACAAAAGAGAAGCAGGUUCGGGAGAACGUCAGGUAAUAAUUGUUGAGGUAUUAAGUGAAAACGAGCAGAUAAAAACAAACUGGAACGGUGGUCAAGCGGCAGAGAAUUAGUACAGGACGACGACGACCCCACGAUGAGAAGAUGGCGGUGAGGACGAGAGAAGCAGCAGGAAACGGGAGAGGCGAGAGACGAGGGAGGCGGUGUAAUGGAAGGAAUGACAACUAUGCUGCUCAUGUACAGAGCUGCGUCACCUGACGUCACGAGGUACCUGAUGAAUGACGUCACGAGACACCUGAUGAAUGACGUCACAAGACACCUGAUGAAUGACUUCACGAGACACCUGAUGAACGACGUCACGAGAUACCUGAUGAAUAAUGCCACACCACACCUGAUGAAUGACGUCACGCCCCAGCUGAUGAAUGACGUCACGCCACAGCUGAUGAAUGACGUCACGAGACAGCUGACACUCACGUCAGAGAUCACAUGGUAAAGUGGCAGUAAGUUCGUAGAGGAUCAAACGUGAAGAAAAACUGAAGAAACAAUAAUUCUUUCUUCUACAAACAAACCAUACACAUAGGUAAUAACGUUACCACCCAGCAUCUUAAGAUAGUACACGAAAACUAUGGAAGUAAAUACUUAGCUUCUUACGAAAUAACCUACAUGCAGUAACUAGUUUCUAAUCAUAUCAAACUAGUAUUUUCUAUGUUAUAAUCCUAUCAAACUAGCAGUCGACAGCUUCUAAUCCUGUCAAACUAGCAGUCGUUAGGUUCUAAGCCUGCCAAACUAGCAGUCGCUAGGUUCUAAUCCUAUCAAACUAGCAGUCGACAGGUUCUAAUCCUAUUAAACUUGCUAGAAAAUACUGCAGUUGAACUCAUGCGGUACUGAGCGACUCUUCACUAAGGAAUCAUUCCAGCCAGUGUCUUGCUGCCUUUUUAUGAUUAAGUUUAAUUCAAUUUUUUAAUCUGAAAAAAAUCUUGACUACAUUUUCCUUAUAUUAGUAACAUUUGAUUUAAACUACCACUAUUAUUAUCAAAACUAAUCGCUAAACCAACAAUGGUUAAACUACCUAUAACUCUUUUACUAAGAUGUGAACGUAUUAUAAUUCCUUUCUUUUAUAUAUGGCAAAUCAUCAUUGUAAAUGAGUAUUUUUUCACAAAAGUUUACUUUAUGUUUUAUAGAUAUUUGAUCUAACAUUUCCCUUCAGGAUUCUAGAUGUUAAUAUCAAAGAACUAACAUUUUUAACUUUUGCUUUCACUGGUGUGUAAAUUUGGACAAAUUAGAAACAUUGGUUUUGCUUAACUAAAAAGAAAUCUAUUCAGCAAUUUUUUAAGAUAAUUUUUUUAUUUAUAUAGUAACACAGUAAAUUUUAAUACUCGUUUAAUACGCCAACAUUAAGCUUACCAUGUAUUAAAUUAGAGACAUUUUGCUUUAGGUGUUUACUCUAGUAUCAAGUGUGUAAACAAUGGGCCCAAAGAGCAUUUAUCUAGGUUUGUGUACUAAGUUACUGGACGAAUUAUUAAUUGUAGUGUUGCAUAGCCUUGUGUUUUUUUAUUAUCUGAUUUCUUAAGACCUGUGUCAUCGUGAUGACCUACAGCCCCAUGGAUGGAAUAACUAAACACCUGACUGCAAAUAUGAAUCAAUAUCAGUGAAAUUUUUUUUUCAGGAAUGUCUCGGUGUUUUCGUAUGUUUACACACGUGUCAGACACACAGAUGAUGAUCAAACCAAAUGCAGAUUAUGUGGUCAGGCAUAUGGUCACUGUCUUGAACACUAUGUGCUUAAUUGUCCACUUAUUGAGGAAUAUAUAGUAUAAUAACAUAUGUGGCAUGUCAAGAUAACUUAUUAAUGAAAAUAAGAUACCAGACAUACUAAGCAAAUUUCCUAAAUUUCCUAAAUUUGCUUGUAACAGAUAAGUGAACUAUAGAUAUAAAUCUAAAUGUACACCUGUUAACCCUUUUGGGGCCUAGUUCCUAGGCCUUUUGUGUAUCCAUAUGUUCUAGCGCUACCCUCCACAGGAUGGAUGUGGGAGGCACAAUAAACUAGCCACUUCGGUGGCUAGUUUACACACGUGUCUAAGUAUAUGAAAACGUUCACUCAUUUCUAUUAUUUUUUUUGCCUCACAUUUUGUCUAAAUAUUGAGUUAAAUAGAUUAAGUCUCUUCUUUAAUACUUAAGUUCCAUAAAAAAAAUACCACGGGUGGGGUUAGAACCCGCGAUCAGAGCACUUAAGUUUUAUCAUGGUGCAGAGGGUACAAGUGUGUACCAUCGUCGUUUGGGGGUACAGCUGUGUGUCAUUGUGGUGCAGGAGUACAGCUGUGUCAUUGUGGUACAGAGGUAUCGUUGUGUGUCAUUGUGGUGCAGGAGUACAGCUGUGUGUCAUUGUGGU